rnacentral:rRNA from 1 species
CCUACGGGAGGCAGCAGUGGGGGAUAUUGCACAAUGGGGGGAACCCUGAUGCAGCGACGCCGCGUGGGUGAAGGAGUGCUUCGGCAUGUAAAGCCCUAUCGGCAGGGAAGAAGCAAGACGGUACCUGACUAAGGAGCCUCGGCUAAAUACGCGCCAGCAGCCGCGGUAAAACGUAGGGGGCGAGCGUUAUCCGGAUUCACUGGGUGUAAAUGGAGCGUAGUUGGCCAUGCAAGCCAGGGGUGAAAGCCCGGGGCCCAACCCCGGUACUGCCCUUGGAACUGUGCGGCUAGAGUGCGGGAGGGGCAGGUGGAAUUCCUGGUGUAGCGGUAAAAUGCGUAGAUAUCAGGAGGAACACCGGCGGCGAAGGCGGCCUGCUGGACCGCGACUGACGCUGAGGCUCGAAAGCGUGGGGAGCGAACAGGAUUAGAUACCCCGGUAGUC